rnacentral:rRNA from 1 species
UACAGAGGGUGCGAGCGUUAAUCGGAAUUACUGGGCGUAAAGCGUGCGCAGGCGGUUGGUUAAGUCUGAUGUGAAAGCCCCGAGCUCAACUUGGGAAUGGCAUUGGAAACUGGCUGGCUAGAGUGUGGCAGGAGGGGGGUGGAAUUCCGCGUGUAGCAGUGAAAUGCGUAGAGAUGCGGAGGAACACCGAUGGCGAAGGCAGCCCCCCUGGGCUAGCACUGACGCUCAGGCACGGAAAGCGUGGGGGAGCCAAACAGGGAU